rnacentral:lncRNA from 1 species
AUGUCAAAAUCCCCCUUUAGUGACUUGGUGCUUUGGAAGGAAGGCCGUAUUAGGGCAUACUGUAAGACAGUAUAGAAUCUGCUGUAGUCCUUAGGCAGGAAGAGCUGGUUUCUGGUUAUCUCCCACUAGGGAGACUGGGAACUCCCACCAGCUUAGCAACUGGCACAAACUAAGUCCACACACACAGCUCAGGACUUAGUUUCUCCUUCCCAAGGCAAUCCCACCCACAAUGAGCACCUGAAAAGGUGACAGAACCUACUUUCAAAUAUUAUAGCCACCACUAAUUACUGAGAAAAACUUCACCUUGAGAAGCUUUGUUCAAUUACUAUUCACUAACCCUGGUAUUGGUUUUUUAGACUUUAGACUUAUCUGAUGCUGGUAGAGUUCCUCUGUGCUACGAUGUUAUUUUAAGAAAAAAACACAGAUCACCUAGCUUCCAAAUCAUCCCAGACUGUUGACUCUAAUGGUUCUUCUUCAGAUGACAACAGUGACACUAGUGUAAACAAAAUUAUUUUACUUAUUAUAUUCUUCUUUCUUGGAGGUAACUGAAUUACUACAUUAAGUAUAGUAAAACAUAUUUUAUGUUCCUUCAUUUACUUUUUAUUAUCCUAUGUGUAAGUUUUGCAUAAGUGUGGGAUAUUUUAUAACAGAACAAACCUAAGAAACAUGUGUAACUCCAAAGUUAUUUGAUACCAAUAUAUCUGUUUAGAAAAACUGACCGAAAUAUUUUGAAUAUAAAUAGCACCCUAAUUGUAACUGCUUAACAAGUUACAGUAGUAACAUCCUCAGUUGUUAAAUGCAAAUUACUCUAAGUUUUUAAAUACUUGAAUGUAUAUCAUUCUUCCCACCCAAGGCAAAAGCAGAUAUGCUGAUAUGCAGAUAUGCUGCUCUUUCUUCCCAGUAAUAUCAAGUUCUUUUUGUUAACUCACAAGGUAGUCUAAGAUUAGUAAGAAAUCUUUAGCAGACACAAAAGAUGAAAGAUGAAACUGCAGCAAGAGAGCAUGGCAAAUCCAAAAGAUCUAUUAGUGCAUAAAUCUACUGGAAAAAAAAAAAAAACAACAAGAACAAAAGAGAUAGAAUUAACAAGCUACAAUAAAAGUUAUGUCUUUAAAGCAGUAGAUUAUAACAGGGUGGGAAAUGUUUAAUAUGUGUCCUCCUGAAAAGCAGUUACCAUCUUUUAAAUUAAAAAAAACCAGCUGGUAUAUUUUCACAGCAUCUAGAUUUAUUUAUGGUAUAAAGCCAUAGAAUUGUAAUAUUAUUACUCCUUUCCCACCCUGGCAGAGAAUAAACAUGAAUUCAGAAGCACAGUGGAGUGAAAACAAAGAAGAGGAGAGAGAAAAGGCAGCAGAGAAAGACAGAAAAGGUGAAUAUAGAGCUACAGAAGUGUUUAUUGAGCAUGCUACAGGGGUAAGCAGAGUACACACAAAAUGAAAUUAAACAACCAUCAAACCUCCCAACUUUGUUAGAAAAUUAAUUUUUAAUUGUGCCGCUUUCAAACUAUACUGAAUUUUACAUUUCUAAAGAUGUAAAAACUCAACUAAUAGAAAAUAUACAAAAUAUUUUGAAGAUUUAUUAAAACUGAAUAUUACAAUGCAAGGUAAAUU